GACAGAGGGUGCAAACGUUGUUCGGAAUUACUGGGCGUAAAGCGCGUGUAGGCGGCUAUGCAAGUCGGAUGUGAAAGCCCUCGGCUCAACCGGGGAAGUGCACCCGAAACUGCAAAGCUAGAGUCUCGGAGAGGAUCGUGGAAUUCUCGGUGUAGAGGUGAAAUUCGUAGAUAUCGGGAGGAACACCAGUGGCGAAGGCGGCUGUCUGGGGUAUUGCUGACGCUGAGGCACGAAAGCGUGGGGAGCGAACAGG
rnacentral:rRNA from 1 species